UACGAAGGGGGCUAGCGUUGCUCGGAAUCACUGGGCGUAAAGGGUGCGUAGGCGGGUCUUUAAGUCAGGGGUGAAAUCCCGGAGCUCAACUCCGGAACUGCCUCUGAUACAGCACGUCUUGAGUUCGAGAGAGGUGGGUGGAAUUCCUAGUGUAGAGGUGAAAUUCGUAGAUAUUAGGAAGAACACCGGUGGCGAAGGCGGCCCACUGGCUCGAUACUGACGCUGAGGUGCGAAAGCGUGGGGAGCAAACAGG
rnacentral:rRNA from 1 species